rnacentral:rRNA from 1 species
GACGUAGGGCGCGAGCGUUGUCCGGAUUUAUUGGGCGUAAAGAGCUCGUAGGCGGUUUGUCGCGUCGUCCGUGAAAACUCACAGCUUAACUGUGAGCUUGCGGUCGAUACGGGCAGGCUAGAGUUCGGAAGGGGAGACUGGAAUUCCUGGUGUAGCAGUGAAAUGCGUAGAUAUCAAGUGGAACACCAGUGGCGAAGGCGAGUCUCUGGACAUUUCCUGACGCUGAGGCACGAAAGCCAGGGGAGCAAACGGG